rnacentral:lncRNA from 1 species
CACACUCAAAACCAUCCCAUGGUACAGUCAUGGGUGAACACACUCAAAACCAUCCCCAUGGUUACAGUCAUGGUGAAACCACUCACCCAUCCCAUGGUGACAGUCAUGGUGAACACACUCAAACCAUCCCCAUGGUUCAGUCAUGGGAACACACUCAAAACCAUCCCCAUGGUUACAGUCAUGGGUGAACACACUCAAAACCAUCCCCAUGGUUACAGUCAUGGGUGAACACACUCAAACCCAUCCCCAUGGUGACAGCCAUGGGUGAACACACUCAAACCCAAACUCAGUCCUGCCCGUGCACGUUUGUUUUUUUUGCCCUUGCACUACACAGCUGAUAAUAAAAACACUCGUCAAGCUUUGAAUAUUUUUAAAUCAGCUGUGCAGCGUUAGGGCAAAAACCAAAACGGGGCCCCAGGAUCAAGUUAGGGGCUUACCGUAAAAAACUGACCCCAACUAACACACGGCUGUUAGAGAAGCAGGAGGUGCCUUUUGAGAAUCCUUUCCCCGUCAAUAGACAACCAUCUACAUGUCCAUCAGUGGAGGCUGCUGAGAGGAGGACGGCUCAUAAUGGUCAGAGCGAAUGGAAUGAAUGGUUUCACAUGGUUUCCAGGUGUUUGAUGCCGCUCCAGUCAUUACCACAAGCCUGUCCCCCGAUUAAGGUGCCACCAACCUCCUGUGGUGUAUAUCAAACUAAGGGACUGUCCACGAGGGAGUAACUUCUCCCAGUCCAUUACUGCUGCGAUGCAGCCCGGGAAUGAGAGCCUCAACUCUGUAAUGAUCAUCUCAGCAAGCACCAAUAAAAUAGACAGAAACCAUGAAAUGGAAAGGGACCUCCAUACAAAACAGACAAUUGUGUUAAUAAGCCUUUGAACCAAGUGCAUAUCUAGAGCUAUGGAAGGUGCUAGAUCAACCCCCGCUACACUGCCAUGGUGACAUUCAAGGUCAUCUUUUUUUGUAGUUGCAGAACAAUUGUCAAUCUAUAAUAUCAUCUUCUGAGACUCCAGCGCAACUGCAAAGAGACAACCUG